GAGGCCUAUUAAAGUGCUAAGUGGUAUACUGGUAUAGCACAGCGCCUAGCUAUGAUGCACGUGGAGAAGUCAGGAUAUCUCAGUGUUGGUCUCUUUGUCUUGUAACAUGUAUCUUCUUGGUGCAAAAGUGUUCGGUCCUUUCCGUCGGUGCUUACUUGUUUUUCUUCAUCUUCUUUCAGUGAUGCGAUCAUCGAUCCUAUGGCAUCAAAAGCUCCACUUGAUAUUUCCAAGAAAAUACACGAAAGAUAAGUUAUGAUUUAUAAGCCAAGGCUUCUUCUAUGUAUGUCCAUUCAAACCCCUUAAUGUGUGUGCCAUUAUGUAAAACUAUUCUCUCUUUUUUUCGGUUUUGGCAUAAACUAAUGUGAAAUUGGGC
rnacentral:misc_RNA from 1 species